GCUCUGUGCAAGGAAAAAAAAUCCAUCAACAGUCUGAAACCGUCAGAUCUAGAGCACAGAUAGAUGACGGAAAUGUUCACAUGAAACUUUUUCUUGUAAAAUCGGUGUUUGUAUGUACAUAGCCUAAAAUUAAGGACAAUUAAACUCAAUGUUUUUAUAUUUUGACUUAAAGUAAAUAAUCCGAGGUUACUGUAGGCCAGAAUACACUAUUCAUCCCUUAAACACUGAAAACUUAAAUAUGUUUUAUUAAUAUAUAAGCUGUAAUUUAAAUAAAUAGAUACAUUUGAUUAACUGAAGCCUGUAUCACACAAACAUUUCAGAAAAUGUUACCCCCCUCCCCUCUAUCGUGAUUGUAUAAUUCACACCCUGCUAAACCAUCUCAAUGUUGUAAUACGCAGGUCAUUCCUAUGUCAUACCAAUUUCUGUACUUGUAAGUCACCAAAACCAGUAUACACACACACACACACACACACAUUUUCGGUCAGAGUUCACCUGUUCUGUCGAGUGACGUAUAUUGCAGAAAAAUGGCCCAAUCGUGUUGCAGGAGACGAGUUGAGCAACAGUUGCAGGACAGUACUGAACACUUGAGCUCACAGACCUGCUGCGCUUGCAGGAGCUGUUCUGAGUACAAAAGCAUCCACGUGGGAUAAAGGACGGCAUCUUAACUUCAUCUUUGGUGAAACGGAGUUGCCAUUUAAUGUAAAUCCGACUCAUUCAAAGUAACGUCGCUGCGCAGAAAAAAAAGAAUGACUGCCUCUAUUUUUAGGAUGGAUGGUAUCAGCUGCUGGAGAGGAACACACUGCUUCACCUCCUCCCCCUCGGCACUUCUCAUUUAAAGGCGCUGAUGGAACAUUCAGGAAAAUCAGUGUAUUUUCUACCCUCACCCGGAGCCUCGGACCAGAAUGUUCACUUUCACACCUGAGUAGGAGGGGUAAAAAACUGAUCGAAAUACAACUAAAUGUUUACUUGAGUGUUAAAAAGUAAUAUAAAAAAAUAAAUAAAUAAAUAAAUAA